GUUGGGCAUGGUGGCUCACGCCUGUAAUCCCAGCAGCUCAGGAGGCUGAGGCAGGAGGACUGUGGGUUCAAAGCCAGCUUCACCAAAAGUAAGGUGCUAAGCAACUCAGUGAGACCCUGUCUCUA
rnacentral:sRNA from 1 species